rnacentral:rRNA from 1 species
GGAAUCACUGGGCUUAAAGCGUGUGUAGGCGGAUCGUUAAGUGUCUUGUGAAAUCCCACGGCUCACCCGUGGAACUGCUUGGUAUACUGGCGGUCUUGAGCCAGCUAGGGGCUACCGGAACAAAUGGUGGAGCGGUGAAAUGCGUAGAUAUCAUUUGGAACGCCAAUGGUGAAAACAGGUAGCUGGGGCUGUGCUGACACUGAGACACGAAAGCCAGGGGAGCAAACGGG